rnacentral:rRNA from 1 species
UAAGGUAGUUAAUAACUAGUUAGUUGAAUUAUUUUUUGUAGAAGGGUAAAAUCUAAUUACAAAAAAAUAAACCUAGGACAACUACAAAUAUUGACUCUACGAUAGCUUUGAGGGAAACUGGGAUUAGAUACCCCAUUAUUCAUAGUUGUAAAUCAAUUAUUUUACCGGAGUACUAUGAAUUUAAGUUUAAAACUCAAAGGGCUUGGCGGUGUUUUAGACUUCUCAGGGGAACCUGUCUCAUAAUCGACAGUCCACGUUAGACCUAACCUUUUUUUGCUUACAGUUUGUAUACCGUUGUCGUCAGGUAACUUUUAAGAAUUUUAGGAGUUAGCAAUAAUAAAUUAAUUAAUUAUUACGUCAAAUCAAGGUGCAGCUUAUAAAAAGGUGAAGAUGGGUUACAGUUAUGAUUCAUAAUCUACGAAUGGGGUACUGAAAUUUUAUUCACUGAAGGGGGACUUGAAAGUAAAAUAGAUUGUAUAUAAAUAAUUUGAAUUAAGCUCUGAAACGUGUACAAACCGCCCGUCGCUCUCGCUGAAAAAUGAGAUAAGUCGUAACAUAGUAGGGGUAAUGGAAAUUGUCUCUGGUUG